rnacentral:rRNA from 1 species
UCCGGAGGGGGCUAUCGUUGUUCGGAAUUACUGGGCGUAAAGCGCACGUAGGCGGAUGUUUAAGUCGGGGGUGAAAUCCCGGGGCUCAACCCCGGAAUGGCCUUCGAUACUGGACGUCUGGAGGUCGGGAGAGGCGAGUGGAAUUCCGAGUGUAGAGGUGAAAUUCGUAGAUAUUCGGAGGAACACCAGUGGCGAAGGCGGCUCGCUGGCCCGAUACUGACGCUGAGGUGCGAAAGCGUGGGGAGAAAACAGG